rnacentral:rRNA from 1 species
UACGUAGGGGGCAAGCGUUGUCCGGAAUCAUUGGGCGUAAAGAGCGUGUAGGCGGCUCGGUAAGUCCGCUGUGAAAGUCCAGGGCUCAACCCUGGAAAGCCGGUGGAUACUGUCGGGCUAGAGUCCGGAAGAGGCGAGUGGAAUUCCUGGUGUAGCGGUGGAAUGCGCAGAUAUCAGGAGGAACACCGAUGGCGAAGGCAGCUCGCUGGGACGGUACUGACGCUGAGGCGCGAAAGCGUGGGGAGCGAACAGG